AUUGAACGCUGGCGGCAGGCUUAACACAUGCAAGUCGAGCGGAGAUGAGGUGCUUGCACCUUAUCUUAGCGGCGGACGGGUGAGUAAUGCUUAGGAAUCUGCCUAUUAGUGGGGGACAACAUUCCGAAAGGAAUGCUAAUACCGCAUACGUACUACGGGAGAAAGCAGGGGAUCUGCGGACCUUGCGCUAAUAGAUGAGCCUAAGUCGGAUUAGCUAGUUGGUGGGGUAAAGGCCUACCAAGGCGACGAUCUGUAGCGGGGCUGAGAGGAUGAUCCACCACACUGGGACUGAGACACGGCCCGGACUCCUACGGGAGGCAGCAGUGGGGAAUAUUGGACAAUGGGGGGAACCCUGAUCCAGCCAUGCCGCGUGUGUGAAGAAGGCCUUAUGGUUGUAAAGCACUUUAAGCGAGGAGGAGGCUACUGAGACUAACACUCUUGGAUAGUGGACGUUACUCGCAGAAUAAGCACCGGCUAACUCUGUGCCAGCCGCCGCAGUAA
rnacentral:rRNA from 1 species